GCUGGAAUCUCUCGGGGUUACAGCCUUGCUGAAUUAUUCACCCUUGUCUUUUGCGUACUUCUUGUUUCCUUGGUGGGUUCGCCCACCACUAGGACAAACAUAAACCUUUUGUAAUUGCAAUCAGCGUCAGUAACAAAUUAAUAAUUACAACUUUCAACAACGGAUCUCUUGGUUCUGGCAUCGAUGAAGAACGCAGCGAAAUGCGAUAAGUAGUGUGAAUUGCAGAAUUCAGUGAAUCAUCGAAUCUUUGAACGCACAUUGCGCCCUUUGGUAUUCCAAAGGGCAUGCCUGUUCGAGCGUCAUUUGUACCCUCAAGCUUUGCUUGGUGUUGGGCGUCUUGUCUCUAGCUUUGCUGGAGACUCGCCUUAAAGUAAUUGGCAGCCGGCCUACUGGUUUCGGAGCGCAGCACAAGUCGCACUCUCUAUCAGCAAAGGUCUAGCAUCCAUUAAGCCUUUUUUCAACUUUUGACCUCGGAUCAGGUAGGGAUACCCGCUGAACUUAAGCAUAUCAAUAAGCGGAGGAA
rnacentral:rRNA from 1 species